UACAGAGGUCUCAAGCGUUGUUCGGAUUCAUUGGGCGUAAAGGGUGCGUAGGCGGCGCGGUAAGUCGGGUGUGAAAUUUCGAGGCUUAACUUCGAAACUGCAUUCGAUACUGCCGUGCUAGAGGACUGGAGAGGAGACUGGAAUUUACGGUGUAGCGGUGAAAUGCGUAGAUAUCGUAAGGAAGACCAGUGGCGAAGGCGGGUCUCUGGACAGUUCCUGACGCUGAGGCACGAAGGCCAGGGGAGCAAAACGGG
rnacentral:rRNA from 1 species